rnacentral:rRNA from 1 species
GACGAACGCUGGCGGCGUGCUUAACACAUGCAAGUCGAACGGUGAAGCGCCUUCCUUUUUGGUGGGUGUGGAUGAGUGGCGAACGGGUGAGUAACACGUGAGUAACCUGCCCCCUUCUUCUGGAUAACCGCAUGAAAGUGUGGCUAAUACGGGAUAUUCUGGGUCUGUCGCAUGAUGGGUCUGGGAAAGAUCUUGUUUCGGUGGGGGGUGGGCUCGCGGCCUAUCAGCUUGUUGGUGGGGUGAUGGCCUACCAAGGCGGUGACGGGUAGCCGGCCUGAGAGGGUGGACGGUCACACUGGGACUGAGACACGGCCCAGACUCCUACGGGAGGCAGCAGUGGGGAAUAGUGCACAAUGGGCGCAAGCCUGAUGCAGCGACGCCGCGUGAGGGAUGGAGGCCUGCGGGUUGUGAACCUCUUUCGCCAGUGAAGCAGGCCUGCCUCGUUUGUGGGUGGGUUGACGGUAGCUGGAGAAGAAGCGCCGGCUAACUACGUG